GAUGAACGCUGGCGGCGUGCCUAAUACAUGCAAGUCGAGCGAACAGACGAGGAGCUUGCUCCUCUGACGUUAGCGGCGGACGGGUGAGUAACACGUGGAUAACCUACCUAUAAGACUGGGAUAACUUCGGGAAACCGGAGCUAAUACCGGAUAAUAUAUUGAACCGCAUGGUUCAAUAGUGAAAGACGGUUUUGCUGUCACUUAUAGAUGGAUCCGCGCCGCAUUAGCUAGUUGGUAAGGUAACGGCUUACCAAGGCCACGAUGCGUAGCCGACCUGAGAGGGUGAUCGGCCACACGGGAACUGAGACACGGUCCAGACUCCUACGGGAGGCAGCAGUAGGGAAUCUUCCGCAAUGGGCGAAAGCCUGACGGAGCAACGCCGCGUGAGUGAUGAAGGUCUUCGGAUCGUAAAACUCUGUUAUUAGGGAAGAACAAAUGUGUAAGUACCUAUGCACGUCUUGACGGUACCUAAUCAGAAAGCCACGGCUAACUACGUG
rnacentral:rRNA from 1 species